GCGGGUGUGUCCAAGGUGGACAAUGAGUGCUCCACACUCACAGGCCGAGUUCGAUUCUCGGUAUCCGCUCCA
rnacentral:tRNA from 1 species